rnacentral:rRNA from 1 species
UACGUAGGGGGCGAGCGUUGUCCGGAUUUACUGGGCGUAAAGAGCGCGUAGGCGGUUUGAAGAGUCGGCUGUGAAAUCUCUGGGCCCAACCCAGAGGGGUCGGCCGAGACCUUCGGACUCGAGGGUGGUAGAGGAAGGUGGAAUUCCGGGUGUAGUGGUGAAAUGCGUAGAGAUCCGGAGGAACACCAGUGGCGAAGGCGGCCUUCUGGGCCACACCUGACGCUGAGGCGCGAAAGCGUGGGGAGCGAACCGA